rnacentral:rRNA from 1 species
AUUGAACGCUGGCGGCAUGCUUUACACAUGCAAGUCGAACGGUAACAGGCCGCAAGGUGCUGACGAGUGGCGAACGGGUGAGUAAUGCAUCGGAACGUGCCCAGUCGUGGGGGAUACCUACUCGAAAGAGUAGCUAAUACCCCAUACGAUCUAUGAAUGAAAGCGGGGGACCGUAAGGCCUCGCGCGAUUGGAGCGCCCGAUGUCAGAUUAGGUAGUUGGUGGGGUAAAGGCUCACCAAGCCAACGAUCUGUAGCUGGUCUGAGAGGACGACCAGCCACACUGGGACUGAGACACGGCCCAGACUCCUACGGGAGGCAGCAGUGGGGAAUUUUGGACAAUGGGCGCAAGCCUGAUCCAGCAAUGCCGCGUGCAGGAAGAAGGCCUUCGGGUUGUAAACUGCUUUUGUACGGAACGAAACGGCUCUGGUUAAUACCCGGGGCUAAUGACGGUACCGUAAGAAUAAGCACCGGCUAACUACGUG